UCGUCGGGUUUUUUCCGCUAAUCUCGGAUUCGCGGUUUGCUGAUUCGUAAGGAGAGCUAUAAUCUCCAUUGGCUUCCGCCAUCGAAUGAUGCAUUAUUUGGGGCGCUAUUAAUCCCCAUUGGCUUCCGCUAUUGGAUGCACUCGCCGUUCUCCAGACCUAGGCUGCAUUACAGGUUAAAGUUGCCAUCCCCUGGGAAUUAAAUAGAAGUAAUGAUAAAAAUAUCUAGAUGCGUUCGUUCCCACCAAGGGGGAGAAAUUUGAUGAUCACCGGCAGUAAAACAAAAUUUUGGGUAAUGGUUGCUUGGCUCUUGAAAGUUGCAAUGACACAGUUGGGUAGUUGAGUAUCCUUUGUGAAAUGCUAGUGUUCAGGAGCAAGACAGAGAAUAGAUUGAAAUUUUAGGAUAAGUGUAGUCAAAACAUAUACUGCCUGAUACCUCGCCUCUUGCUGUCCCACUCCACCCUGUCACUUCUGCUUGCCUGUAAACUUGUUCUCAGUUUUGCAAUACAAAUGUUCAGGCCGGCCUAACAAGCCCCCCAUAGUUCCUCAAAAAAAGAAAAAAAAAGAGAGAGAGACAAAAAUAAACAAAUACUAGGCGACAUGAUGAUACUAUUAAAAACACAGGUUCCCAAUGUUUGGAAUGUGGUUACACAAACAGAAAGAACCUGACAUAACUACAUGCCAGUAUUGCCUUUUACACUUUGUCUGCUGAAACUACCUAUUUUUCUUCAAAAGUAUCGAUUGAACCAUCUAGUCCUUCUAGUUUUGUACAUUGGACUACUGCAUUCUGAUGGCAGGUGGAACACAUACAGUAUAAUGCUCUUGAAGCAUCGGCAUUGUCCGAAAGACAUUCAGAGUCCAAAUGAUGAUCUGAAAAUAAAGACAAGAAGUUAUACAAAUGAAAAAUCUAAAUCCUUUUUAGACAGGUCGUGCAUAUUCAACAGAGAGCUGCACUAACUUUAGUUAUCAAGUAUGGGAUAUUGUCAUCGAUAUUUUGGCAAAUCUGUUGGUACCCUGGACAGUUUAUUCUGUAAGCCUGUUGCUGUGCAUGCACGCAUGAGCAACUUUAUCAUAACAUUUUUUGGAAGUAGGUUGGAAGUUGGCUUGCUA